UUUCACUCAUCACAUUCUUCAUUAUUUUUGCUAGGCCAAACGCUGCACACUUUUUUAAAAAACACUGAAGAUUUCACUUUUCAGCCUCAAACCUCUCUCUCACACUUAACUGCGAUUUUCAGUGAUGCUAAAUUAUAAACCCUAUAUGUCGAUCAACUAGAGUCCGACCCGCAAGAUAAUACGAGUUUGGUGUCGGGUGUGAGACCUGGACCAAAACAAAAUUAGGGCCACAACUUCACAAUUUCAAAUUGAUUCAAUUUAUUUAUUUAUUUUCACUCGUUAUUUUGAAUUGAUGAUGAUUUUUAUACUAGUGAUCGUGAUGUUAUUUCCACAUUGUUCGCUGUGUUUCAUUUUAGACUCAGAAAUCACAAAAAUGGUCUUAGGGAAGACUCGGACGUCCUUUUAGAAUUUUGAUCACAUUUUGAAGCUUGUCAAUUUGUUAAACAUUGGUUUGAACUUGCUUCGUUGCUCAAUAAGCUAAUGAACUAUUAGGAAACGAAAAACUAAAGUACCAGAUGUCACUCUUGCGAGUUAGAGUCACAAAGCAGUUGAUAAACUGAAUCAAGUUCAAGGAAUUUUUUUUUUAUUUGAAGGUUAAGCAAACACACACACCCAUGGAGGCUCGAACAUGUGAUCUCCCCAAAGGGGAGGAGGGCUUGUACUAGCUGCGCUAUUGCCCAUUGGUGAGUCAAGUUCGAGCUUGGGAGUAACUAGUUACUACUCAACUUGAUUUGACCCGUGCAUGAUUCUUUAACUUCUCUAUAAUUUGUAUGAUGGAAGUAUCCGUGUUGGCUAUUCUUUAUGUUAGAAAAUUUAAGUUUAAGUACCAUUAGAUGGUCCCAUGAACUCGAAUACAAUCCAAAAAUUUAUCUUUUCAAGUGUACAAUGGAAGUAUGUCCACUAAUGUUUUUGGUAUAAAAUUUAAGUAGAAGUAAAAGCUAGUACGGUCCAACAAUGAACUUCAAUUCAGCAGGACUCAUGCCAUGUUUUGACCACACAAGCAUAUCUCUGAUGAAUAAUGCAAUACAAUUUCUAUAUUGCCUGCUAUUGGUAUUCAUGUAACUCACAUCUUGAGAUAUUUGGAAGCUAGGAUUUGUCAUUCAUAGAUGCACAAUGUGUUGUACAAUAAUUCAAGUGUACAAAAGUACUACUAUGUGUGCUUGUUAAUGGAAAAUAGCUGAGACGGGGACCAACAAAAGGCUCUGUAAAUUUAUGAAAACAGGAUCAUCUCUAUGAUGUUUAUGCUGGAUCUAGCUAGAUUAAAUGAACAACCAACCACCAAUCCUGUGGGAUCUAACUACAAAUUAAUUUAUUUUCAUUUCUAUAAUGUUUGAUCUUCAAUCAUUGUUGAUUAUGUGUGGUCAAAUUUAUUACUCCCAGAGCCACAACCUACAUAGCCAUAUAAGAGUCCAUAAGGAACUUCCAAAUUUUAGGGUCAUAGUUACUAGGAGGGAUAAAAAGUAAGGAGUAUGGAAAUGGCAUAAGAGAUACAUGAGGUUUGAGACAGCACUAUACCAAUUUUCUGUCUUCAUUAUAUAUUUCUUAAAAACAGUUUAGAAUGUACAAGAUGAAUAGUCGAAAUCAUCAUUAUCCAACUAAAGUUAUAAAUUAAUCACAGAUCCCAUUAAGAGAAUUUGGGAUCCUCUUUGAUCAUAUGAUUAACAUUAGAUACGCAGACAUGGUUCACGUUGAUAAUUAAUAAAAAUAAAUUGAAUUCCAUAAUAAUUAUCUGCAUUACUUCACAUUUGUUUCUCCAGCUAUUUUCCAAUUUGAUUCCUUCUUGUGUGUCCUCUUCAUUUUCAAGGUAUUGAUUUUGUUAGAACCUAAAAUGGAGCAAUUUAUGUAAAAAUUGCAAAGUAUUGUUUUUAUUAGAACCUAAAACGGAGCAAUUUAUAUAAAUUCAAGUUUAAAUCCAUGUUGUAGUGUGAAGGUCUAUUUCUGAGUUUGAAUCUAAGUUGGAUCUUGUGAACAUAUUUAUGGAUAAUCCAAACAAAACUUAAUAUACUAAAACGGAUAUGUUUCAUCAAAUAUCAUCAAAGUUGAUUUCUUUUAUCUGUAUUUAUAUUCAGGUCCAACCUGAAAUUUAAGAUUGAAUAAGAUUCAUUUAUGAGCUAUUUUAAAAUUAAAUUUAUAUUCAUAAUCUAAGCACAAUUAACCGAAUUUCAAAUUUCAAAUUGGACUAUUUUGACUGCAGACACGUGUAUCAUGUUAAUGGCAUCUCACUUUUUCUAACAAGCAGAGAAUUAAGGCCAACAAAAUUCUACAAACUGCUUUGAUUAUUCUGCAAUUUACAAAAUCAAGUGAAAGCAGAAGAAGAGCAAGUUGUAACUUUUUCAGUCAACACUAUAGGGGCUGCUUGGUUCAGCGGAAAACAAACUCUUGAAGUAUUCAAAGAAGACAAAUCUCUGAAUACUAGCAGAGAAGAAAACGGGGAGAUAAAAAGGUUUUAUGUAAUACUUUUAGAAUACGAACUAUGAACUCAACUAACUAAUUUAAACUCAGAAUAUAAAGACUUCACCAAGAAUUCUGAAUCGUUUAGAAAGUUAUGUACACAUAUAUUUUAACUUUCAGAAUAUUAGCUUUUAUACAUGCCUACAUGGUCGCUGUGACUGCAUGCUUAACUCUGAAGCUACAGUUGAUGAGAGAGAUUUUUAUUCACAAGAAUCAGAACUAGUUACUUUUUCUUUUAUCAUUCUAUAUUCUACAAAACCUAUUGAAAAAAAAAAAAUAAUAACAUACUUGUAUCAAAAUAAUUCAAGAAGCGAAAAUCAGUUACAUGGGAUUCUCAGGCUCUUUGGCCGGUUGUUUCAGCCGGAAAUAGACUUUUUGAUUGUGGCAGAUGAGACUGUUUGAUGUGAUUAUGGUGUUCUCUGAAUUGAAAAUAGCUUUUACUGAAAUAUAUAGCCAUCUCACCUCUCCACCUGUAUACUAUUUUUAGCUUUACCUCUUGUUAAUUGAGUUACCUAAUUGUGCCGGAACAAUAAUGCAGUUCCAUAAACUUUAUCAUAGCAUAUUCUUUUUGGCAUUGUUUGUGCUCAUUAACAAAUAUUAUGCAAUCGAUGUCGUGACAUAUCUUUUGGAGCUUUUUGCACAAUAUAAUUAUCUCUUGAUUCUAUUGUUUGUAUUCAAGAAUGUAUCAAAUUUGUAUCCUCCUUUGAGCAAACAAAAUACUGUUCAACAGUUACCUCUGUCAUAAUUUAAUAGGUCUAUAUCGAUAUCCAUUAAUGGAACUACUGUGUAUAUAUUCUAUGGAAAGACAACCGAGCAUGUAGCUUUGCUGGUUGAGGUUUCAAUCCCAAUUGAUAAAGUAGUUUUUGUGAAUGGUACAGAGUAAACUGAGUCAGAAAGUGAAAUUCUUUGCCUCAAGAUAAUUAUCUUGGCAUCACAACUCUAUCUUUGGUAGAUCAAUCUCUUUUUCCACUUUGUUAUUUGAUUAAGUGAAGUAGAUACCAUGCCUUUAUAAUUAUAGGAUAAGAAAUGUCCAAUUAAUGCACUGUUAAAGUGCAAUGCACAACUUAGCAAAGAAUGUGACUGUACAAUAACAAUGACAUGUAAUAUGGUGGAAAAAAUUGCUUAAAUUGGAUUAAAAUCAUACACUAUCCUUUCCAAAUUGACCACAUAUGUUUUAAAAAGAAGUAAUGCAAAGCGGCUGUAAAAGGACUUUUUUAGGUGGCACAACUUUUGUCAAAACACUAGGAUAAGUGCUGGAAAACAAUAAAAUAAAAACUCAAAGCCCCUGACGUCACACACAAUCCACUUUCUCUACCAAUUCAAACACUAGACUUGCAGACACACUCUCUCUCUACCAUUUCUGCACGACACUUGGCUCUAUCGCACUGAGUUCGUGAAAAAGGUGUUUGGCCUGUAAAAGUGGUUGGUUUUGAUGGAACUAGAUAGGCGUGCUAGGAACUGCUGUAGUUCCGAAGAGAGAUUCAAACAAUAUUCCCGAAGGAAGAUUGCAAGACCAGGCGACUGUGAUGAGGUCUGGAAUGAACACCUCAGGGUUCUUUUUGCUUUUAAAAAAGGAUUUCGGGAUUGUUAACUGGCUAGGAAGAAUUACGUUACUUAUGAAAGUAAUUGACUGGAAAGUAAGAUUAUUUAAUGUAAAGUGCAAAACUUCGACUACACGUAUUGAAAUUGCAUUGCAAUGAAAAUAAAGAUUGUAUUGAAAUGCUGUGUUUGUGCGUUGAGCAGGCCUUUUAAGUUACAAUAUCAUGCCCUAUUUAUAGAAUUUAGUAAUGGUAGCUUGCAUGUAACUGCUUGCUUCCUAGGCUGCCAUGUGACCCAUGACUUUGCAUGUAACCGCUUGCUUCCUUAGAUGCCAUGUGUCCCAAGACUUUCCACUGAAACGUUGUAGUACCUUUCCAUUGGAAUCGACCAGCUUUUGAGGUUGCCAUGUGUCCCAUGACUUUGCAUGGAAUCGCUUAUAACUGCUCGCUUCCUAGGCUGCCAUGUGUCUCAUGACUUUGCGUGUAACCGCUUACUUCCUAGGCUGCUAUGUGUCCAUGACUUUGCAUGUAACCGCUUGCUUCCUUGGUUGCCAUGUAUAUCAAGACUUUCCACUGGAACGUCGUAGUAUCUUUCCAUUGGAAUCGACCAGGGCAAUCUUCCACUGGAAAGUGGAAAAAUAGAGUGUAAACAAGAGGUGACCUCAAAUGGUGAUGGAUUGGAGGUCUUCGACUAUCUAUGUACAGUUUGUGGGAAAGAUCGAGAGAAUUUUGAAACCUAAUUAGGUAUUCCACCUAUCCAUUAGUUGAUGUAUUUGUACUUGCUUUUCAUCCAAUCUGGUUCAUCUAAUAAAUUCUAUAUCUUUUAAUAUGUUUAUUAUCUUUCAUCUCUGCAAUUCCACUAUACAGUCGAGUUUUGGUGGUGCAGAGUCGGUUAAAGAAGAGCAGAGACGUAUUUGUUCAUAUUUAACACACAAUUUUCCUUUCACUUCUCAUUACUUAGUGCAUUUAUAGAGAUCCUAAGCUGGAAUGAGAAUACAAAUUGUUAAUAUUUGCCAAAUCCUAUAUAUAUUAGUAUGCUUAAUUUGGUCCAGUGUUUAAUUUGUCUUUGGCCUUCCUAAAUCUUUGUUGUAAUGAUAUUCAUUGUUAUUUUCCUGAUCUAUCACAUUACUUUGUUCUAAAUUGAUUAUUGGUACCUAUUGCAAAAACACCCGCUUAAUUUCCUCAUUUUUGGUAGUUGUUUAUUGCUUAUUUCUCAAUUUUUUGGUGUGCUCAACAUUUGGUGCAGAGUAUUGGGACAUCACUGAGUUUGUCGUGUGUAAGAAAUAUUUAGCUCUCUUCCUUCAUUUGGCUUUUGUUUUAAUUUCAGAGUUAUUAUACCGCUUCAUGAUUACUUAUCAAAAAAAAAAAAUUAUACCGCUUCAUAGGGGUGGUAAAUGGGUGGGUUGGGUUGGGUUGAAAAUGGGCGGGUCAAUAUGGGUUAAGACCCAUAUUUAACCCGUUCAGAACGGGUUCAAUAUGGGCGGGUUGAAUAUGGACAGGGUCAACUCGUUAUGACCCGUGAAUCCAUUAAUUAUUAUUAUUAAUUAUUUUUUAUUUUAUUUUUAUUUUUCUUUUUUAAUUUUUUAAUUUUUUUUUAUUAAAUGUUAACAUGAUUAUUAACCUUUUGCAACCCCAAUGCUAUCAUCAUACAUCCCUCUCUCUAUAUAUACCAUAUAUAUGUAUAUGUGUAUAUGUAUAUAUAGCAGAGGAAAACACAAUCACCUCUCGGCUCUCAUGACUUUCUCUCUCUACAUAUAUAUGGUAUAUAUAUGUAUAUGUGUAUAUGAAUUGCAUGUGUAUAUAUAUAUAUAUAUAUAUAUAGCAUAGGAAAACACAACCACCUCCCUACAUUCCCACGAUCACGACAUGCGCCUUCAAAUCCGAUUCCCAUGAGUCCAUUACAAACUGGGCUCUAACAUAUUAUAAAAUUAUAUAUGUAUUGUUUCCUUCACUCAUUCCAAAUUUUACAAUCUCACUUUCUCUCUCUAGAUGAAUAUAUGGUUCUAAAUAAUGGCCCGCCAAAUCUAAAUCCGUAAAUUUUUUAUUUUUAAAAUUUUUUAAAAUUAUUUUUUAACUAUUAAUUAUUUUUUAAUUUUUUUUAUAAAAAAAUUAAUUAUUUUUUAAUUUUUAAAAUUUUUUAUAAUUAUUUUUUUUUGAAAGGUUUUAAAAAUUUUAAAAAUUUUAUUUAAAAUUUUUUUUUUUUUUUUUUAUUUUUAAAAAUAGAUUUUAAAUAUUAAUUUUUUUUUGAAGAAGUUUCUAGAGAGAGAAACUUAGAGAGAGGGGAUUGAUAAGAGACAAAUUUAGAGAGAGAGGAUUGUGAGAGAGAGAAUUUUAGAGAGAGAAAUGAGUUGAGUGCAUAGAAUAUAUGUGUGUCGUGUGUUUAUUAUGUGAUGGGUGAAAUAUGGGUUGGAUAUGGUUAACCAUAGUAACCAUAUUCAACCCAUCUUGACCAUCAAAUUAAGUGGUUAAAAAUUACCCAACCCAUCUUGACCCUCAAAUUAAAAUGGUUCACCCAUAACCAUUAAAAGGCGGGCGGAUAUGGGCGGGUUGAUGGUUCCUGACCCAUUUUGCCACCCCUACCGCUUCAUGACUAUAUAAUUUCUGAGGCUUUUCAGGUGAAACAUUUUAACCUGUACAUACCAUUGUUGAAUUCUUGGAUAUACCGAGCAAUUAUACACUCCAUUAAAAUGUUUUAGUAUGUGACUAGAUUUGCUCUGUUUUGAAAGUAAGCACUAUUCUCUGUUUUUAUUUUUUUCAACCUUGUACACUUGAGUAGCUCACACACAUAUAAUAUCAUGCAUAGUGUUGAAGAAAAUGAUAACAAUGCAUGCCCAAAAUACUUUGUUUUAUAUAGUUUUGUAUUUCAUUUCUCAUGUUAGAAAUUGCAAUCUCAAGACUUUUUGUGAAUUUUUCAUUGAUACUUGUGGUGUACGGUUGAAUUUGUUAUGGUUAGAUGAUUCCUUUGUUGAAGAUUUUAUUUUAUUUUUUAUUAUUAUUAUCUGAUGACGAGAUCUAGUUGUUGAUUUGAUUAGAUUACAAUAUCAUAUGCGAUAUGGAGGAUAGUAGCACAAUCAUUUCAUUCAACCCCGUGCUAAAAGUUGAGUACACGACUUAAUUAAGCUAAGCUAGCAUUGAGUUCAUACUUCAUAGAUUUAAAAAUUGAAGACAGUUUUUAUUUUCAAGUGAUUUCAAAUUUUCCAACAAUUGAACUCUAAUUAGUCAUUUAGUUCAAAAGACACGACUAGCCUUCCUUUCUAUUACCAGAUGAAAGCAUAUUAGCAUUAAUUAGAGCAAAUUGCAUGAUCUAUUUACAGUUUGAGAUAAUGGUUCUAACAACUCUAUGAUAUGCAUGGAAAUUUGAGAUGCUUGGGCCAUUUGGGAACUUAGUAUACUGAUUUUGGUUGCUGAUAAGUACCUUGAUUCUUUGACAUCCAUAUAUUUUUCUUGUCGAUGUUAUACCUCUAAGCAAUUCCAAGCAAUUCCAGUAUUUUCCAACAUGAUUCAACUAGAAAGAAAUAGAGGAUAUUGUACCUUGGAACUAAGCUGGGUUCAUUUUUAUAGAUUAGUAUCAAUAAUUUUAAUUAUUUACACAAUUGUAUACUCUUCAUAGGUUUGCAAUGAAGUCGGCACUUAUCAUGCAUUACAAAAUCCCAGAGCAUCCUACCCUUCAUCUUCUCAUUUACCUUUAUCACAUGUAAUUAUGAAGUAGCAUUUGACUCUGUAUGGUCAAGUCCUGUCUUCAAAUGAUGCACACCGUAUUAGAUUGUGUUGACGCUAGAAUCGGCUCCUAAGAUCCGAUUCGGAAUUGAUGUUUACAGGCGUGCCAGAACCAAUAAUAUGGUUCGAUUGUAAAUAGUCAACGUUAGUCUCUUUAAGAAUAUUGAUUAUCAGGCGAUGCGAGGAUAAAGAGAACAGUGAUACUCUUCUUAGAGUUCAAGAAUUGCCUUAAUUAAAAAGACUUUUAAUUGAAUGAAUUAUAGUAAUGAUUGAGAGAAUAGAAAGGGGAAAGAAAUAGAUAUAGAAAGAAUAGAGAGAGAGAGAGAAAGAUUUAGAGGGAGAGAGAUAGAAUGAGAAUAAAAGAGAUAGGGAGAGAGAGAGAAAUAGCAAGAAUGCUAUUUUGGGAAAGAGCUUGAGAAAGCAAACAAAUAAAUUAAAGAUUCUAGGGUUGCUGGACCCCUAUCUCAGCAUGCCUCUUUGAUUAUUUAUAGAAUAAAACAUGGAAACAAACUCCUAUAUGCAAGUAUUUUACUUGCAUUACAACUCUAUCACAACUAACUAUAAAUUCAAAAUAAACUAAUCCUAUAGAUAACCCAACUAACUAUAAGUUUAAAAUAAACUAAUCCUAAAGAUAAACAUAAAUAUUUAACUUACAUCAACUAAAAGAUAAAUACUAAAAUUAUAAUCCCUAUCCAUUAAAUAACUCAAAUGCUUCAAUCUCCUUUGCCUCUUAAUGUAGCUUCUGUUACCUUUUUCACGUGUCAAAUUGGUUGCCAUAUCAUUAAUACAAAAUUUACCAAAAAGGGUGUCAACAAUGCCCCCUAAUUUUAAAUGUCUUAUCGACUGUCGGCCGCCCAAGCCGAUAAGAUAUUUGAAAUUUAAAGUACAUUGGAAGAAAAUUUUGAACAAAGGUUACGCUAGUCACUUGGAAUCAGAUUGCAAAUCAAUGAGCUCCAAAGCUUUAUUUCUUCUGAAUUACCUCUAAGAUGAUCUUUAUUUCAUUUUAGCCAAAUCUGCCGAUUUAGGCUUCUUCCUAGAAUCUCAUAAAGUUUGCCGAUAUUGCCGGUCCAUAAACCCAGGAAGGACUUGCCCCCCAUGCGUUUUCUAACUCCUCUAGCAAAUCAUGAUCAUGAUCGGCAAGAAUUAAAUUAUUGUGAAGCGUCAUUCUAGCCGAUCUGCCUAUUAUCUCUACUAGAUAAAUGAUAUUGAGCCAGCAAGGAGUUUUCUUAGCUGAAUUCCUUUCAGCCGAUUUUGCCUUAGCUGAUUUUUCCUCCAGCUUAAUCGGCAGGACUGUAUCAUGCCCAAAAGUGCAUUGAUCGGCAAACAUGACCUCACUAUACUCGGCAUGCUGAAAUGGAGCGUAUGGAUCAAAUAACUUUUGUUUGGGGUUUGCAAUCACAUCCCCCCCGGCAGCCGCUGGUUUUUUAGCCGAUUUUCUUAUAACCAAUUUUGUCGUAGUCGAUUUUCUUUCAGCCGAUUUUACCUCAGCCGAUUUUCUCAAUCGAUUUUUAAGUACCCUUGUGAAAUUAACAUCUGCUAGUCUUUUUCUUCUUUUCUUGAAGUUGGGCUGAGGACAGCGAGUAAAACAAUUCUUUCAGCUGAUGAUUGUUUUUGCCGAUUAUUAGAUGUCACAAUCGGCAAAGAAUUCUGGUACAUAGGCCGCUUUGCUUUUAGCCGAUUUGUAGCUUUCCAUUCAUCAGUAACAUGCUGAUAGCUUUUCCAACUUUGUUGUUGAUAAGUCAUCUGUUGUGACUGAUUUACCGUCUGCCGAUAAUCGACUACUGGAACUUGCCGAUAAUUGGCAGUCGGUGACUGAUAAUAUUCUGGCAAACUUUGCUGCCGAUUUUCUGAUAAAAUUUCCUGCCGAGAUCGACAAGACUGGCCAAUUUCGGUACUGGUUAUCGACAGCCCCUCAUAUAACAGAGGUUGUGAUACAGGGGUGACAUGUUGAUUUACCACCUGGUCAGGAUAAGGUUUCUUGUACACAGGUUGAGCACAUUUACGCCCUUGAGCUACCUCGGUUUGGAUAAGCUGAGCCAUCAAUUCUUUAAUCUCCUGAUCAAUCUCCCCAAUUUCUUGCCGUUCUCUCUGAGGGGGAAUCGGCAUAACUGGUGGGCGUUGUAGAAUAACCUUUGCUGAUUUUACAUUCGGCUCAAUCGGCAUCAAUUGUAUUUCUGUUAUUAUCAGCGGAUUGCCGAUGGGCAUACCAAAAGUUGUGUUCGGCGGGACAAUUACUGUCGUAGUUGUUUGUGGCCCUUGAGAAAUGUUUGUCAACGGUAAAGAAAUACGUUGAAAAAUUGAUUCAAGAGAUGUCGAGUUUUCAGCUCGAUAACGACUUUGGAUAGUCGAUAUCUGAGCCUUCAUUGCUUUCAAAUCCUGAAUAAUCUCUUGCCAAUCGGCUAUCACUUGCCGAUAAUCGGCUGCUGGCGUCUGGUUUGCCAUUUGCUGAUAAUCGGCUACUGGUCGCUGAUAACUUUCAGGCCAACCAUAUGACUGAUUGGCUUCACCUGCCGAUAAUCGGCUUCUGGUGACUGGUUUACCAUUUGCCGAUAAUCGACUAUUGGAACUUGCCGAUAAUCGCUUAUUAGAACUUGCCGAUAAUCGCUUGUUGGAACUUGCCGAUAAUCGACUAUUGGCGUCUGCCAAUAAUCAACUAUUGGAACAUGCCUAUAAUUGGCUGCUAGAGCAUGCCGAUAAUCGUUUGUCCAACCAUAUGGCUGAUUAGAAUACUGGUACAUCGGCUGAUUUGAGUUAUUAAAAUAUUUGUAUGUUGGUUGAGAAGCCGACUGCAUAUUUUUACUAUAAAUCACUCACCUAGUGGGGUCCCACCGAGCGUGCCAAGAAUGUUGACGCUAAAAUCAGCUCCUAAGAUUCGAUUUGGAAUUAAUGUUUACAGGCGUGCCAGAUCCAAUAAUAUGGUUCGAUUGUAAAUAGUCAACAUUAGUCUCUUUAAGAAUAUUGAUUAUCAGGUGAUGCGAGGAUAAAGAGAACAGUGAUACUCCUCCUAGAGUUCAAGAAUUGCCUUAAUUAAAAAGACUUUUAAUUGAAUGAAUUAUAGUAACGAUUGAGAGAAUAGAAAGGGGAGAGAAAUAGAUAUAGAAAGAAUAGAGAGAGAGAUUUAGAGGGAGAGAGAUAGAACGAGAAUAAAAAGACAUAGGGAGAGAGAGAAAUAGCAAGGAUGCUAUUUUGGGAAAGAGCUUGAGAAAGCAAACAAAUAAAUUAAAGAUUCUGAGGGUGCUGGACCCUAUCUCAGUAUGCCUCUUUGAUUAUUUACAGAAUAAAGCAUAGAAACAAACUCCUAUAUGUAAGUAUUUUACUUUCAUUACAAUUCUAUCACAACUAACUAUAAAUUCAAAAUAAACUAAUCCUAUAGAUAACCCAACUAACUAUAAGUUUAAAAUAAACUAAUCCUAAAGAUAAACAUAAAUAUUUAACUUACAUCAACUAAAAGAUAAAUACUAAAAUUAUAAUCCCUAUCCAUUAAAUAAUUCAAAUGCUUCAAUCUCCUUUGCCUCUUAAUGUAGCUUCUGUUACCUUUUCAACGUGUCAAUUUAUUCCCAAAUUAGUUGCCAUAUCAUUAAUACAAAAUUUACCAAAAAGGGUGUCAACAGAUUGGGUCUAGGUAUGUAUAUCUUUCUCCAACUCUUCCUAUGUAUAGAGCUAUGUUUUUCUCUUAGAUAUAUAUGUAUAACCAGCUAUUGAAGCUCACAAUGGAACAGAUUGAAGCUCAUCUAUGUUGAAUUAAGAGAUUCUUUGUUCCCUUGGCGAUUCUCUGUUCGGGUGAGACAGAGACAUAUUAGGUACUUGUUGGUGGCAUUGAUGCAGAUACCAUGCUACUGGAUUUUUGCUUUAUUAAUAGUGAAGAUGAAGCACAUUGAUUCAAACCAUUGUAUACAUUGUUGCUAGAGUGUUGAUAGAAUUGUCUGAAAUUUCUUUUGUAUAAUUUGACAUUUUUAUAUUUACUUAUUCAUGAUAACUAAUGUAUACAUUGGUAGAGUUUCGGUAAAUUUGAAGUUUGAUUCUUUUUGUUUAAAUUACUCCAUGUGGACAUGAUUUAGCAAUGUAUACAUUCCCUGAUAAUCUGGUAGCUAGGAAGUUACUGUUAUAUAAAACUCUUUGGCAGCAGAUAUUAUUGCUCCAAAAGGCAGAAAAUAGGCAGCUAUAAAGGGUCUUUGACAGCAUAUAAAUGUUGCCUAUUGUGGCCCUAAGGUAGUGGCCAUGACUACCGUGCUUUUUUAUUGCACACAGUUUUGCCAGCAGAUAUCGCUGCAAAAGGUUUAGGCAGCAGUUUUUAUCACUUGUAGCAGCAGAAAUAUCUGCUGCUAUUUCCUGUUUUUGUUAUAGUGAUUAGAACUGAUGGCUAGGUGGGAAAUGAUUGAUGUUUGUGAUGUGUUAGAGCUUCUGUCUCCUGUUUUUGAUGGUGAAAAGGUCAGUAGUACAUAUAUAUACAUGUUUUUGUGUUUGUCUGUUCAUCUUCAUUAUAAGGAUUGAAUUGACAUGGAAUAACUCAAUUCUACUCAACAUAGUCUUCUAUCAAUUAUGUGGAACUGGUUACAUGAAUUUUGCUGUAUCUAGCGUCACAUUCUUUGUCAAAUUACAUGCUAUCUUAACGUUUGUACUAUCUCAAUUCUCAACCUUUGUUAGUUUUGGUCUUCUCUUCCCCCAAUACAACUUGCAGUACAAAUUCGAUAAUGUAGAUAAAUUGUGUAUAUUGUUCUGAAUUAUAAUAUAUCAUUAUCCCUUUAACUGGUUUGUACAUAUGCUGUCAGUGUUCUUGAAAGAGCUGAUGAUGAAGAGCUCCAUUGUUACCUACUUCAACUAGUUCAAGCUUUGUGGUUUGAGUGCUCUGAUAAAUCUCGCCUUUCUCAUUUGCUUGUGCAAUGGUGUAUUCAUGCUGUUAUACACAAAAUUUUCAAAGUGGCAAUUUUAUGGUAUUUUGCAGUUAACUACUUGAUGUCAUCUGAAAGUGUCCUUGAACUAUGGCUGCAUUAUGUAAUAUUGAGUUGGCUAGUUUUCUCCGGUGGUAAGGUGCAGUGGAACUUCAUGAUCCUACAUAUGCAAAACGUUUUUAUUGUACCUAUGACAUUCUAGAAGAAAAUAUGAUGAAGGAAAUGUAUGGGGCAGAACCCAGAAGAAGAUUGAAAAUCUUAGACAGCUUCUUUUUGGCCUUCUAAGUGAUUUUACCUUACUUUGAAGAGCCUGUAAGAUCACCUUUGGCACCAAGUGUCCUCAUCACAGGGAUUGUUCCAUCAUAAUCGUCAAUAUUUAAAAGUGCACUGCAUCCUUUGCGUCUGACUUUUCGAACAGCAAGUGGAAGAAGUUGCAAGAUCAUCAAGAAAGGAGACGAAAUUCGGCAAGACCGUUCAUGUAGGUUGUUAAAAUGGUAUCACUUGUGGAUUUAGGAAUCUUGAUCUACACUCAACUGGACACGAUGAAGGCGUGCUGGAAUUCAUACCAUCCAGUUCUUUAGGACAGAUUUUUGCAUAGCACUGUAGUAUUAUAAGUUUUCUGCAGAAGUUCCACCCUGACGAAGAUGGACCAUUUGGGAUUACAGCCACCUCUCUUGAAACAUUCAUAAAAAUCUGUGCUGGCUACUUAGUCAUCACAUAUAUAUUGGGAAUUGGGGACUUCAUUUAUUUGGGAAAUGGAAAGUGAUGCCUUGGCUGCUUCAAUAUAUGUUAUUGUCUAAUUUUAUUCUUAUGCAUGUAUGUAAGAUUGCCCCAGUUCAUGAAUGUAAAGAUGAAUAUUGCUGCACGUUAGAACUACUAUGAAGUUGUAUAUUUUUACUUUCGUCUAAUCGUGUAAUGUUUGGAGCUUAAUAUCUUUAUCUGCAAAUUUGUGAAGCUUCUGAUGACAAUAAAACAUACAUUUCUAAAUAAUUUAGCCUGGAUUUUGAACCCCAACCAAAACAAUUCCGAAAAAGAAACCUCCCUUCCACCCUAGAAAAGGGUAUAUUAUCAAUUCCUUUAACUGUGUUCUAUCUUGCAUCUCUAGUAUUUUCACAAGUAGGCUAUCAGUUCGAAUUCAUUAGACUGGAAGUAACAUUUUUUGGAUACGCGUUCAAUCCAAUUUAAGGAUGAUCCUCUUUUAUUGCUUGUCUGCUCCACACAACAUGCAUGUCAGUUCCUCGUAUAUGAUCUCAGUGCAAUAUCUUAUGUCCAUUCUUCACUUGUUAAAUCGAAGUUUGAUUCUUGAGUCAGAAGUCUUCCUGGUCUCUAGGCACCUUGAUAAUUUUCUCCUUAGGAAUGAUGGCCGCCUCUUUCAUGUUGAUUUCGGUUUUAUUUUGGGUCGAGACCCAAAGCCAUUUCCACCACCAAUGAAGCUUUGCAAAGAAGUGGUUGAGGCUAUGAGUGGAGCAGAAAGGUAUUCUUACCUUUCUAAAGUAAUUAAUUAUAAUCCUUGGUGCUUUAGGUGUGUCAUGUUAGUUAGACAAGGUCCAAUCAGAUUUUUGACAUAAUUUGACUCAGAAAGCAUGUUGUGUUACACUUUUGCCUCCUGCAGCCAAUACUAUACCAGGUUCAAAUCUUACUGUUGUGAAGCUUUACAUCCUCCUGUGAAAUUUAGUAAUCUAAAAUUGAAUCUGUUUCAGCACAUGGCGGGUUCCAAUAUUCCUGCUUCUUAUCCCGUGAAAGGAAUUCUUAAGCUUCAAGAAAAGUUCCGGUUACUUGGACGAUGAGGAGGGCAUACAUUUUUUCGAAGAUCUUAUCAAUGAGAGUGUCAGCGCUUUCUUCCCUCAAAUGGUGGAGACCAUUCAUCGCUGAUCCAGAAAAUGACUAGUAUUUAUGCCUCUGUAAUUUGAUUUAUAAUUUCUAAGUUCAUUUCUGGGAGUGUCUUUCUGCAAAAUUAGUUGUUCGAAAGUCAACCUCGGCAUGUUUUAUGCUGGAUUUUUGAAUUAAAUUACAGUUGGGUGCAUAAAUUUUUCUGAAAUCACUGGUUUUGGGCUGAGUGGAAGCUGGUCCCUACGCAGUAGUGUGCGCCUGUGCUUUCACAUUGAUUCUUUGUAAUAUUCUUGUGGUCGAUGUGCCCAAUUUAAUGGUAGUGGUAAUGAUUGUUAAA